rnacentral:rRNA from 1 species
AACGAACGCUGGCGGUAUGCUUAACACAUGCAAGUUGCACGAGAAAGCUCUUCGGAGUGAUUAGAGUGGCGCACGGGUGAGUAAUACAUAGGAAUGUACCCUUAGAUUUGGAAUAACCACGGGAAACUGUGGCUAAUACCGUAUAAUCUCGCAAGAGCAAAGGGAGCUUUUCGGAGCCUCCGUCUAAGGAUCAGCCUAUGUCCCAUUAGCUUGUUGGUAGGGUAAAGGCCUACCAAGGCGACGAUGGGUAGCUGGUCUGAGAGGAUGAUCAGCCACACUGGGACUGAGACACGGCCCAG